GGGUUGUGAGGUUAAGCGACUAAGCGUACACGGUGGAUGCCCUGGCAGUCAGAGGCGAUGAAGGACGUGCUAAUCUGCGAUAAGCGCCGGUAAGGUGAUAUGAACCGUUAUAACCGGCGAUUUCCGAAUGGGGAAACCCAGUGUGACUCGUCACACUAUCAUUAACUGAAUCCAUAGGUUAAUGAGGCGAACCGGGGGAACUGAAACAUCUAAGUACCCCGAGGAAAAGAAAUCAACCGAGAUUCCCCCAGUAGCGGCGAGCGAACGGGGAGGAGCCCAGAGCCUGAAUCAGCAUGUGUGUUAGUGGAAGCGUCUGGAAAGGCGCGCGAUACAGGGUGACAGCCCCGUACACAAAAGCGCAUGUGCUGUGAGCUCGAUGAGUAGGGCGGGACACGUGGUAUCCUGUCUGAAUAUGGGGGGACCAUCCUCCAAGGCUAAAUACUCCUGACUGACCGAUAGUGAACCAGUACCGUGAGGGAAAGGCGAAAAGAACCCCGGCGAGGGGAGUGAAAAAGAACCUGAAACCGUGUACGUACAAGCAGUGGGAGCCCCACCACUAAGCCAGUGGUGAACUCCACAUACGCAUCCUUUGCUGAGGAUACGGUUAACGGAGCGAAAGCGACGUUCAACC
rnacentral:rRNA from 1 species